rnacentral:rRNA from 1 species
AUGGAUAGGAUGCGGGAUGCCUUGGAGCGGGCCAAGAUGCUGGUCGGCAUGGAGUUCGACGAGGAGUCCGCGCCGCCGCCGCCUGAGGAGCAGUCCUUCUUCGACGACAUCAACCGGCACUGCACCCUCAACACCACCCAGAGGUUGUAUGGUUUUGCGAUAUGCUUGGCUGCCGGUUUGACUUGCACUUUCUUGUCGAUGAUCGUUUUCUUCAAUCCUGUGAAGUUUGGAGUUACAUUCACGCUUGGCAAUGCGAUGGCACUCGGAAGUACAGCGUUUCUUAUAGGUCCCAAGAGACAGUUUGAUAUGAUGCUUGAUCCUGUCCGUAUAUAUGCUACUGCUAUAUACAUUGCAAGCAUCAUAAUUUCUCUAUUCUGCGCUCUCUUAGUUCACAGUAAGCUGUUGACUCUACUUGCCAUCGUCUUGGAAUUUGGUGCCCUUAUCUGGUACAGUCUAAGCUAUAUACCCUUUGCACGAUCAGUUGUUUCGAAAGUGAUGGCAUCUUGCUUCGACACUGAAUUCUAG